AGACUCACAAUGUGAAUGAAUUGUUUCUAAAGCUCUAAAGUUGGGGAAAGUAGAGGGAAAGAGGAGAGGAUGACCAGCAGCAAAGUGGAUGGAGUCACGGUGGUGAGUACCCUGUUGGAAGAUUUCAAAGAACAGAUGACCCUGGAUCCUGACCUGGCUAGAAUUGGAAAAUGAAUCCAGUUGGAUGGGAGAAAAGUCGUUGCAGAAAUGAAAGUGGAGAAGUGGGAUGUAAAUAUUUUAAACACAAUGAAUUCACAGAAGAUCGGCACUUUCAUUUGUUCACUAUCAAUAUUAGUGGAAAACAAAGACUAAUGCAAGAGGAAAGACAUUUGCAAGGCAAAGGAAGGGAACAGAGUAACUUAGAUGGCCUUUUAUAUGUUUAUUUAUUUAUUUGUGAGACUUAUAUACC